rnacentral:rRNA from 1 species
GGGGAAUAUUGCACAAUGGGGGAAACCCUGAUGCAGCGACCCCGCGUGAAGGAAGAAGUAUCUCGGUAUGUAAACUUCUAUCAGCAGGGAAGAAAAUGACGGUACCUGACUAAGAAGCCCCGGCUAACUACGUGCCAGCAGCCGCGGUAAAACGUAGGUCACAAGCGUUGUCCGGAAUUACUGGGUGUAAAGGGAGCGCAGGCGGGAAGACAAGUUGGAAGUGAAAUCUAUGGGCUCAACCCAUAAACUGCUUUCAAAACUGUUUUUCUUGAGUAGUGCAGAGGUAGGCGGAAUUCCCGGUGUAGCGGUGGAAUGCGUAGAUAUCGGGAGGAACACCAGUGGCGAAGGCGGCCUACUGGGCACCAACUGACGCUGAGGCUCGAAAGUGUGGGUAGCAAACAGGAUUAGAUACCCUGGUAGUCCACACCGUAAACGAUGAUUACUAGGUGUUGGAGGAUUGACCCCUUCAGUGCCGCAGUUAACACAAUAAGUAAUCCACCUGGGGAGUACGACCGCAAGGUUGAAACUCAAAGGAAUUGACGGGGACCCGCACAAGCAGUGGAGUAUGUGGUUUAAUUCGACGCAACGCGAAGAACCUUACCAAGUCUUGACAUCCCUUGACGAACAUAGAAAUAUGUUUUCUCUUCGGAGCAAGGAGACAGGUGGUGCAUGGUUGUCGUCAGCUCGUGUCGUGAGAUGUUGGGUUAAGUCCCGCAACGAGCGCAACCCUUAUGGUCAGUUACUACGCAAGAGGACUCUGGCCAGACUGCCGUUGACAAAACGGAGGAAGGUGGGGAUGACGUCAAAUCAUCAUGCCCUUUAUGACUUGGGCUACACACGUACUACAAGGGCGUUAAACAAAGAGAAGCAAGACCGCGAGGGGGAGCAAAACUCAGAAACAACGUCCCAGUUCGGACUGCAGGCUGCAACUCGCCUGCACGAAGUCGGAAUUGCUAGUAAUCGUGGAUCAGCAUGCCACGGUGAAUACGUUCCCG